AAAUGCAAUUUUCAUUCCACCAACCGCGGAUUAAUUCGCAACGAUGUGAUCCGCCAUAUAUAAUACGCCCCGUUGACGUCACAUUCUCUUCCUGUCGUCCAUGACUGCGGAUAGCGAAGUUGGCGAUACGAACAACAUAAGCGGACCAUCUUUUGCGGUUUUUUGGACCGUCAUCCUGUACACCAUUACCCCGCUACAAGACAUCAGAAAGGCGGGGUGGGAGACUAGGGCACAGGGUGGACACACAGCAGCACCGUUCCUGAAGAACCCAGAGGGUCAGUGUCUCUACCGAGAGCAGCUUGACCACAAUUUCGAACCGCCUUGGGAUCCUAGCUGACAUUUGCUGGUGUCCCAGAUUUUCUUCUUUGCUGUGUUGUUGCGAAUAUCAUAAUCACCCCGUGUCCUAGCUCCUAUCCUAGUCUGUAUUAACCAACCUUAUCAAGAAUGAAGACUCACAUCAUGAAUAAGGACCUGUCCAUGGAAGUUCUCCGUGACGGCCUCACGCCACAAGAUGUCCUCGCCAACAAGGUGAACUCUGGCGGGCGAGAUGACAAAGACGACGCUUUCUUCGUGUGUGACCUUGGUGACAUCGUGAACAAGUACAAGAAGUGGGUGUCCUGCCUCCCCCGUGUGGUGCCCUUCUACGCUGUGAAGUGUAACGACAGCCCCCAUGUCCUGCAGGUACUGGCCAACCUGGGGACCGGCUUCGACUGUGCUAGCAAGACUGAAGUGCAAGCAGUGUUGAACCUGGGCGUUAGCCCUGACCGCAUCGUGUAUGCCAACCCCUGCAAGCAGACUUCUCACAUCCGCUAUGCCAAGAAGAAUGGGGUGGAUCUCAUGACCUUUGACAAUGAGGAUGAGCUGCACAAGAUCAAGAACUACUUUCCAGAUGCUAGCCUCCUGCUGCGCAUCCUGCCUCCUGCAGCUGAAGCUCAGUGCCAGCUCGGGAUGAAGUUUGGCUGCCACCCCAGUCAGGCACCCAAACUGCUGGAAGUGGCAGCCCAGCUGGACCUCAACGUGGUGGGCGUCAGCUUCCAUGUUGGCAGCGGCUGUCUGGAGGCCUCGGCAUUUGCUCGCGGUGUGGAGUCUGCCAAGCGCAUCUUCAACAUUGCUGACCAGUACGGCUUCGAGUUCAACACGCUGGACAUUGGAGGCGGUUUCCCCGGCCAGGAGAGUGCAGCAAUCUCAUUCGAUGAGAUCGUAGCAGACCUGGGGCCGGCCCUGGACGAGCACUUCCCGCCGGGGAGCGGAGUGCGCAUCAUCGCCGAGCCUGGGCGCUACUUCGUGGCCUCUGCCUUCACGGUGGCCGUCAACAUCGUGGCCAAGCGCAUGGUGGCUCGGGACAUCCAGGAGUUCAAAGAUGAGGAGGCUGAAGAUGCUGUGAUGAACUCGGUGGCACCCUCCAUGUGCGAGGAACCAGCCUUCAUGUACUAUGUCAACGAUGGUGUCUACGGCUCCUUCAACUGCCUGCUGUAUGACCAUGCCGCAGUCACUCCAUCACUCAUGAGGAGUGUGGAUAAGGAGGAGGCCCUGUUCUCCACCAGUGUGUGGGGCCCCACCUGUGAUGGUCUGGACCGCAUCAUGGAACACUGCCUCCUGCCAGAGCUGCACGUUGGCGACUGGAUCCUGUUUGAAGACAUGGGUGCGUACACCAUGGCAGCUGCCUCCACCUUCAACGGGUUCAGCAAGCCGUCCUGCUACUAUGUGGUGGAUGCCAACAUGUGGGGCAGCAACAACCAUGCGUUUGUCCAGUCCUCUGUGUGUUCUGGCCUUCGCCAAGUCAAGGACAACACCAUCACCAUGCCGGCCAUGAAAAGGGGCAUGUGUGCCCAGGAGCGCCUGGGUAUCACCCAGAUCCCCAGCGUCACUGUUCCAGAGGUGUAGGAAAGAAAACCACCAUCCCAAACAUGGAUAGGCCCUUCCUUAUGACGUUUUUCUAAUCAUGUAGAUUCUGUCUUGAUAUGUUUGAGUCCCUGUAACAAACAGCAGGCAGAGGCAUGGCCUAAUACUACUACAAGAAACCCACCACAAUGCACGGUCUGCACCUCAUUUGUGCCAUAUUACUCCAGCUCUUGCAAUAAGUAUCGCUGCCGUACAGAACUGGCCAAACUGUUGUUAAAGGGACUGCGAACGUGUGUAUUGUCUGUGAUGCCAGGUGUGAAAGCAUGAUGUUGUCCAAGCGAGAACAUACAUUCCACCCUUUUCAUCAUCCCUAAUUUGUAUUAUGGACCAACGGAGUGUUAGAGGUCUAAUCUCUACCAGAAGUUGUGGAAGGAAGGAAUGUUGUGGUAAUCUGUGACCAAACACAAACAUGUGACAAUACCAACUUGUUUUUUCAAGGCAAUUUGCUUGUAAGUAUAUCCUAUGGUAUAUACUGCGUUUCCCCAUGGCAUCACAGUUCCUAUAUGAUUUUCCUAGAAAUCUAUUGUGUGCUGUUCGUGUUUGAAAGAAGUUUGAAAGAAGAAUCCUUACCUAUGUGCUAGGACCGGAAAGAAGAAAUCUGGGAUUGAGCUUGUUGGUUAGAUCAAACCUCCUUGGUUAGAUUGAUGCCACAGGUGCUUUUGUUGUUUUUUUUUAAAUUAAUUAAGCCAUGUCAUUCUCUCUCAUUGUGUUCCUUUUACAUGCCAAAAUGUGAAUUCUGUAGUAGACAUUUCCAUGAUGUGCGCCGACUGGUCCAGUCUCUGCAUUGAUGUACACCAACGUUUACUACAAAGUCAAUUGGCAACUACUGAAGCCUGUAGGUCAAGUGUGUAUGUAAUAGACAAAUAUCCAGGGCAUUUUAGCAGUUGGCUUUUGAUAGGGUAUACUGUGAAGGUAAGAAUGGUGGGUGAUAAAUGAAAAAGAUAUUUGAAAAUAUUGAAUAAUGGAGACCAUCUCUCCAGAGAAAUGGGCUUUUCAAAGGCCAAAUACUAUAAAUUGUUAUGUGUACUAGUAAAGACUAUUGUGGAAAAAAUGCUUAAAAAGUGUUUUAAGCAUGUUUGAAGGAAGGUAUAUCAGAUAGCAACUGAUAAAAUGCUUCUCGAAUAAACAUGACAUCAAAUGA